GGGUGGUGGUGCAUGGCCGUUCUUAGUUGGUGGGUUGCCUUGUCAGGUUGAUUCCGGUAACGAACGAGACCUCAGCCUGCUAAAUAGUCACUGUCGCUCCGGCGGCUGGCCGACUUCUUAGAGGGACUAUUGGCGUUUAGCCAAUGGAAGUAUGAGGCAAUAACAGGUCUGUGAUGCCCUUAGAUGUUCUGGGCCGCACGCGCGCUACACUGACGCGUUCAACGAGCCUAUCCUUGACCGAGAGGUCCGGGUAAUCUUUGAAAACGCGUCGUGAUGGGGAUAGAUCAUUGCAAUUAUUGGUCUUCAACGAGGAAUGCCUAGUAAGCGCGAGUCAUCAGCUCGCGUUGAUUACGUCCCUGCCCUUUGUACACACCGCCCGUCGCUCCUACCGAUUGGGUGUGCUGGUGAAGUGUUCGGAUUGGCGAGAGGCGGUGGCAACACUGUCUCCUGCCGAGAAGUUCAUUAAACCCUCCCACCUAGAGGAAGGAGAGUCGAGCUUA
rnacentral:rRNA from 1 species